UGGGAAGGCCCAGACAGCCAGGAUGUUGGCUUAGAAGCAGCCAUCAUUUAAAGAAAGCGUAAUAGCUCACUGGUCGAGUCGGCCUGCGCGGAAGAUGUAACGGGGCUAAACCAUGCACCGAAGCUGCGGCAGCGACACCGUGUGUUGUUGGGUAGGGGAGCGUUCUGUAAGCCUGUGAAGGUGUGCUGUGAGGCAUGCUGGAGGUAUCAGAAGUGCGAAUGCUGACAUAAGUAACGAUAAAGCGGGUGAAAAGCCCGCUCGCCGGAAGACCAAGGGUUCCUGUCCAACGUUAAUCGGGGCAGGGUGAGUCGACCCCUAAGGCGAGGCCGAAAGGCGUAGUCGAUGGGAAACGGGUUAAUAUUCCCGUACUUGGUGUUACUGCGAAGGGGGGACGGAGAAGGCUAUGUUGGCCGGGCGACGGUUGUCCCGGUUUAAGCGUGUAGGUAUGUGUUCCAGGUAAAUCCGGUUCACUUUAACACUGAGGCGUGACGACGAGGCACUACGGUGCUGAAGCAACAAAUGCCCUGCUUCCAGGAAAAGCCUCUAAGCAUCAGGUAACAUCAAAUCGUACCCCAAACCGACACAGGUGGUCAGGUAGAGAAUACCAAGGCGCUUGAGAGAACUCGGGUGAAGGAACUAGGCAAAAUGGUGCCGUAACUUCGGGAGAAGGCACGCUGACACGUAGGUGAAGUGAUUUACUCACGGAGCUGAAGUCAGCCGAAGAUACCAGCUGGCUGCAACUGUUUAUUAAAAACACAGCACUGUGCAAACACGAAAGUGGACGUAUACGGUGUGACGCCUGCCCGGUGCCGGAAGGUUAAUUGAUGGGGUCAGCGCAAGCGAAGCUCCUGAUCGAAGCCCCGGUAAACGGCGGCCGUAACUAUAACGGUCCUAAGGUAGCGAAAUUCCUUGUCGGGUAAGUUCCGACCUGCACGAAUGGCGUAAUGAUGGCCAGGCUGUCUCCACCCGAGACUCAGUGAAAUUGAACUCGCUGUGAAGAUGCAGUGUACCCGCGGCAAGACGGAAAGACCCCGUGAACCUUUACUAUAGCUUGACACUGAACAUUGAGCCUUGAUGUGUAGGAUAGGUGGGAGGCUUUGAAGUGUGGACGCCAGUCUGCAUGGAGCCGACCUUGAAAUACCACCCUUUAAUGUUUGAUGUUCUAACGUGGACCCGUGAUCCGGGUUGCGGACAGUGUCUGGUGGGUAGUUUGACUGGGGCGGUCUCCUCCUAAAGAGUAACGGAGGAGCACGAAGGUUGGCUAAUCCUGGUCGGACAUCAGGAGGUUAGUGCAAUGGCAUAAGCCAGCUUGACUGCGAGCGUGACGGCGCGAGCAGGUGCGAAAGCAGGUCAUAGUGAUCCGGUGGUUCUGAAUGGAAGGGCCAUCGCUCAACGGAUAAAAGGUACUCCGGGGAUAACAGGCUGAUACCGCCCAAGAGUUCAUAUCGACGGCGGUGUUUGGCACCUCGAUGUCGGCUCAUCACAUCCUGGGGCUGAAGUAGGUCCCAAGGGUAUGGCUGUUCGCCAUUUAAAGUGGUACGCGAGCUGGGUUUAGAACGUCGUGAGACAGUUCGGUCCCUAUCUGCCGUGGGCGCUGGAGAACUGAGGGGGGCUGCUCCUAGUACGAGAGGACCGGAGUGGACGCAUCACUGGUGUUCGGGUUGUCAUGCCAAUGGCACUGCCCGGUAGCUAAAUGCGGAAGAGAUAAGUGCUGAAAGCAUCUAAGCACGAAACUUGCCCCGAGAUGAGUUCUCCCUGAGACUUUAGGUCUCCUGAAGGAACGUUGAAGACGACGACGUUGAUAGGCCGGGUGUGUAAGCGCAGCGAUGCGUUGAGCUAACCGGUACUAAUGAACCGUGAGGCUUAACCUU
rnacentral:rRNA from 3 species